rnacentral:rRNA from 1 species
UGAUGGGGAAGCCCUUCAGGGCGAAGUAGCUGAUUUCACACUGCCAAGAAAAGCUUCUAUCGAGUUUAAAGGCGCCCGUACCGUAAACCGACACAGGUGGGUGAGGAGAGUAUCCUAAGGCCAGCGAGAGAACUAUUGUUAAGGAACUCGGCAAAAUGACCCCGUAACUUAGGGAGAAGGGGUGCCUGUCUAUGACAGGCCGCAGAGAAUAGGCCCAAGCGACUGUUUACCAAAAACACAGGUUUCUGCUAAGUCGCAAGACGAUGUAUAGGAGCUGACGCCUGCCCGGUGCUGGAAGGUUAAGGGGAUCUGUUAGAGCAAUCGAAGCAGUGAACUUAAGCCCCAGUAAACGGCGGCCGUAACGAUAACGGUCCUAAGGUAGCGAAAUUCCUUGUCGGGUAAGUUCCGACCCGCACGAAAGGCGUAACGAUUUGGGCACUGUCUCAACAAUAGACUCGGUGAAAUUGUAAUCCCGGUGAAGAUGCUGGUACCUGCGACAGGACGGAAAGACCCCAUGGAGCUUUACUGUAGCUUGACGUUGGGUCUUGGUACUACAUGUACAGGAUAGGUGGGAGACUAUGAAGCAUGGACGGCAGUCUGUGUGGAGUCAUCCUUGGGAUACCACCCUUGUAGUACUGGGAUCCUAACCAUAGGCCUUGAAUCAGGUCUUGGAACACCGUCAGGUGGGCAGUUUGACUGGGGCGGUCGCCUCCUAAAAAGUAACGGAGGCGCUCAAAGGUUUCCUCAGCACGGUCGGAAAUCGUGCGAAGAGUGUAAAGGCAAAAGGAAGCUUGAUUGCAAGACAUACAGGUCGAGCAAGGACGAAAGUCGGACUUAGUGAUCCGGUGGUACCGCAUGGAAGGGCCAUCGCUCAACGGAUAAAAGCUACCCUGGGGAUAACAGGCUUAUCUCCCCCAAGAGUCCACAUCGACGGGGAGGUUUGGCACCUCGAUGUCGGCUCAUCACAUCCUGGGGCUGUAGUAGGUCCCAAGGGUUGGGCUGUUCGCCCUCUAAAGUGGUACGCGAGCUGGGUUCAGAACGUCGUGAGACAGUUCGGUCCCUAUCCGUCGCAGGCGUAGGAAAUUUGAGAAGACCUGUCCUUAGUACGAGAGGACCGGGAUGGACGUACCUCUGGUGUACCAGUUGUUCUGCCAAGGGCAUGGCUGGGUAGCUAUGUACGGAAUGGAUAAGCGCUGAAAGCAUCU